AUUAUUAGAAGCCGAAAGGCUACUUAAAACCAUCGCGAACUCGUCCAAGUUGCUUCGGCGGCGCGGCCUCCCUCACGGGGGCGCCGCAGCCCCGCCUCUCCGGAGGUGUGGGGCGCCCGCCGGAGGUACGAAACUCUGUAUUAUAGUGGCAUCUCUGAGUAAAAAACAAAUAAGUUAAAACUUUCAACAACGGAUCUCUUGGUUCUGGCAUCGAUGAAGAACGCAGCGAAAUGCGAUAAGUAAUGUGAAUUGCAGAAUUCAGUGAAUCAUCGAAUCUUUGAACGCACAUUGCGCCCGCUAGUACUCUAGCGGGCAUGCCUGUUCGAGCGUCAUUUCAACCCUCAAGCCCUGCUUGGUGUUGGGGCCCUACGGCUGCCGUAGGCCCUGAAAGGAAGUGGCGGGCUCGCUACAACUCCGAGCGUAGUAAUUCAUUAUCUCGCUAGGGACGUUGCGGCGCGCUCCUGCCGUUAAAGACCAUCUUUAACUCAAGGUUGACCUCGGAUCAGGUAGGAAUACCCGCUGAACUUAAGCAUAUCAAUAAGCGGAGGAA
rnacentral:rRNA from 1 species